rnacentral:rRNA from 1 species
GGGGGCAGCAAUGUCACCGGCGAACGGGUGCGUAACGCGUAUGCAACCUACCUACAUCAGGGGGAUAGCCCUAGGAAACUGGGAUUAACACCGCAUAACAAUAGAGUUGGCAUCAACUUUAUUUGAAAUAUUUAUAGGAUGUAGAUGGGCAUGCGUAGGAUUAGCUAGUUGGUAAGGUAACGGCUUACCAAGGCUACGAUCCUUAGGGGCUCUGAGAGGAGUAUCCCCCACACUGGCACUGAGAUACGGGCCAGACUCCUACGGGAGGCAGCAGUAGGGAAUAUUGGGCAAUGGAGGCAACUCUGACCCAGCCAUGCCGCGUGCAGGAAGUCGGUCCUCUGGAUUGUAAACUGCUUUUGAAUGGGAAGAAUGUGCUCCUUGCGAGGGGUAAUGACGGUACCAUUAGAAUAAGCCACGGCUAACUACGUGCCAGCAGCCGCGGUAAUACGUAGGUGGCGAGCGUUAUCCGGAUUUAUUGGGUUUAAAGGGUGCGUAGGCGGCUUAAUAAGUCGGUGGUUAAAAGUAGCAGCUUAACUGUUUUACAUGCCAUCGAUACUGUUGAGCUUGAGAUAUUUGGAGGCAGCUAGAAUUUCCGGUGUAGCGGUGAAAUGCAUAGAUACCGGAAGGAAUACCAAUUGCGAAGGCAGGUUGCUACGAAUAAACUGACGCUGAUGCACGAAAGCGUGGGGAUCAAACAGGAUUAGAUACCCUGGUAGUCCACGCCGUAAACGAUGAUUACUAGUUGUUGGGGUUUAAGCUUCAGUGACCAAGGGAAACCGAUAAGUAAUCCACCUGGGGAGUACGCCGGCA